AAAAACAAAAGUCACUCUCUUUUUCUUUGUCUUUGCCGAACCCAAACCCUAGGAAAAUAGCAAAACUCCAUUAAUUUUAACUCAAGAUUUUAAAGAAAGGUAUGUAGACUGUCAUUUUUGAUGAGGCUUCGUAUUCUUGUUUCAUGAAGUCUCUAUUUUGGACGAUGUGGUAUUUUGUAAAUAUUUUCCUAUCUUAGCGCUGCAGUAGUAAUAUCUAGAUAGACAGAACUCUUUAGCAUGCUUUUUAAUUUGCGAUGAACUGCCACGUUAUAACUCUGUUUUAUUUUCAUC